UACCAAACCUUUUUGUCAGGGUGCUUCUUUAUCCGUUUAGGAUAACCUUUUCUACAGAAGUGUCUGUUACUGUUUUGGGAGAGUAAUACUGCUCGCUUAUCCAUAUUUCCUCGUUCUGAGGAAGCCUAAUGGAUAAAUUAGAAGGAUAACCUUUGUUUUAAAGGUAUACCUUCGCUUUUAGAGCAGCGAGGAUCUUAUGAGUUGAGCUUUUGUUAUUUGAGUUUUGUUUCUCAAGUAUCCAUACAAAAUGUUCGUAGUAAAGAUCCUCACAAUU
rfam:Saccharomyces kudriavzevii IFO 1802 unplaced genomic scaffold c1826, whole genome shotgun sequence.